AACGAACGCUGGCGGCAUGCCUAACACAUGCAAGUCGAACGAGACCUUCGGGUCUAGUGGCGCACGGGUGCGUAACGCGUGGGAACCUGCCCUUAGGUUCGGAAUAACUCCCCGAAAGGGGUGCUAAUACCGGAUAAUGUCUUCGGACCAAAGAUUUAUCGCCUUUGGAUGGGCCCGCGUUGGAUUAGCUAGUUGGUAGGGUAAAAGCCUACCAAGGCGACGAUCCAUAGCUGGUCUGAGAGGAUGAUCAGCCACACUGGGACUGAGACACGGCCCAGACUCCUACGGGAGGCAGCAGUGGGGAAUAUUGGACCAUGGGCGAAGGCCUGAUCCAGCAAUGCCGCGUGAGUGAUGAAGGCCUUAGGGUUGUAAAGCUCUUUUACCCGGGAUGAUAAUGACAGUACCGGGAGAAUAAGCUCCGGCUAACUCCGUG
rnacentral:rRNA from 1 species